GGGCGGUGCGAGCAGCCUUUUCCGCCUGUGCUCUCCGGAAUGGCGGAGAUGCGGGGCGCGGGGUUUCUUGGUCUUCGAAGGGCCCGGGCGUCUAGCAGGGGCGCGCGGCCGCCCUGAGGGUGAUGAGAUGUGCUUCGUGGCUGUGCCGGGCCUGAGGGGUCCGUGCCCGGAGCCCGUGGAGGGCAGCGGCCCGCCUGGUCUCGGCCACGUCGUCCGUGGACCUCAGGAGGCCCCAACGCGGCCCCCAAGCUGCGUUCCCACGCCAGGAAGUGGAAGGUGAGAGAUGGAUGCUUGAAGCAUAUCCUGUUGCUAGCUGAAUCCUGUCCUGGAGCACCAAAGGUGACCUAAGGAUGUCCUUGAUGAGGAAUUCGAAAACAUCACAGGAAAUCUUGACAAGAGUGGCUUGGAUCAUUUAAACCAGGCGUCUGAGGAGAACUAAACUUCUUGUUUUGGGGCUAUGAAUAAAUAUUUGUGCUUGGA